GCCGGGGUAGCUCAGCUGGGAGAGCAACAGACUGAAGUGGAUAAUCCAUGCUUGUUUUGGGCAUUCUGGAGGUCCCGUGUUCAAUCCACGGUCCUGGCA